UAUUGCACAAUGGGGGAAACCCUGAUGCAGCGACGCCGCGUGAGUGAGGAAGUAUCUCGGUACGUAAAGCUCUAUCAGCAGGAAAGAAAAUGACGGUACCUGACUAAGAAGCCCCGGCUAACUACGUGCCAGCAGCCGCGGUAAUACGUAGGGGGCAAGCGUUAUCAGGAUUUACUGGGUGUAAAGGGAGCGUAGACGGCAGUGCAAGUCUGGAGUGAAAUGCCGGGGCUCAACCCCGGAAUUGCUUUGGAAACUGUGCAGCUAGAGUGCGGGAGAGGUAAGCGGAAUUCCUAGUGUAGCGGUGAAAUGCGUAGAUAUUAGGAGGAACACCAGUGGCGAAGGCGGCUUACUGGACCGUAACUGACGUUGAGGCUCGAAAGCGUGGGGAGCAAACAGG
rnacentral:rRNA from 1 species